rnacentral:lncRNA from 1 species
GAAGAUGAUCCAUCUGUCUGGCGAUUCUGAUACUUUUAGUGAGGUAAGAGCUGUGUUUACACGAUUUGACUUUUAACACUUUUUUAGUUUAACCAUCAAUCAUAAUGUAAAAUAUUAUUAACUCACUCUUUGGGAGUUUAGAUUGAAUCCAUUAUUUACAGCCAAUUAAUUUUAUAUGGGAAAUGAUUCAUAUUUAUCAUAUCUUUCUUUGGUUGGCAUGUUGGUUUGUGAUAAUUUGCUUUUUCUUUUUAGUCUCUCGUCUGUUCCGUAAAGGUUUCUACAAACGAGCGUGUGUUCUUAUUGCGGUGAUUCUACAAGCAAAUCAUUCUUUAAUCUAUGGUCCAAAGAUUAUUAUUGACUAUAAUAUAAUUCUCAGGUGAACUUGUAUAUAAGGUAACUCAUGACACGGUCAAGUCUCAGACAUUAACGAACAGAGGAAUCAAAUAAUAGCCAUGCCACGAUGCUAAAUUUUAAAGGGUGAACUAUAUAACACCUUUCAAGAAGUAUCAGAUUUAAAACAAACCAAAAUGUCUACAAGAGGCGAUAUGUAGCUACUUUAAAUUUGGAGGAAGCCAUGAGAAGACAUCAGAUCAAGACUGCCUCCAAUCGUGAUGAGAAGCUUACAUAAUAUAGGCACCAUGCAAAGGGUUGCUCUGCUGUUUGCUUAUUAAAACCAAGCAAGCACCCGUGUCUGACUUAAUGCCAAUCCAAACAAUUAAAUAUUCCCAACCAAACAAAAAACUCAACAAGAUUGUAAUAUAAUUAUACCCAACCAACCAAAACUCAACAAGAUUGUAUUAUAAUUGUAUCCAAGAGUAUUGAAUCAUGAAAACAUUGUGAUAUUAGUUUUCAUGGGUCUUCCUCUGGCAAUAUUUGAUCUAGGCUCCAAGCGGCAGUCAGGUCGCCAUUAAAGUGACGCCUGCUGUUGACUCGUUUAAAAAUGGAGCCCUCUUUCUUUCACACCACACGGAUAAAACAUUAGACAAACUAACUGAUCUGAGAAAGCAAAACCAAACAAGAAAACAUGACUGAAGUGGGAGAUAAAAGAGAGAGAAUGGUCU